rnacentral:rRNA from 1 species
GUGCAGUAACAUGCACUGGAGGACCGAACCCACGUAUGUUGAAAAAUGCGGGGAUGACUUGUGUCUAGGGGUGAAAGGCCAAUCAAACCUGGAAAUAGCUGGUUCUCCGCGAAAUCUAUUUAGGUAGAGCGUCACGUGAAUACCCUCGGGGGUAGAGCACUGGAUGGGCUAGGGGGACUCACCGUCUUACCAAACCUAACCAAACUCCGAAUACCGAUGAGUAAUAUCUGGCAGACACACUACGGGUGCUAAGGUCCGUAGUGGAAAGGGAAACAGCCCUGACCGCCAGCUAAGGUCCCUAAGUUAUGGCUAAGUGGGAAAGGAUGUGAGAGUGCAUAGACAACCAGGAUGUUGGCUUAGAAGCAGCCAUCAUUUAAAGAAAGCGUAACAGCUCACUGGUCUAAAUAAGGGUUCUCGCGCCGAAAAUGUACCGGGGCUAAAGCCAUACACCGAAGAUGCGGACUCGACUUUGUCGAGUGGUAGCGGAGCGUUCCGUAAGCCUGCGAAGGGGUUCUCGUGAGAGGCCCUGGAGGUAUCGGAAGUGAGAAUGCUGACAUGAGUAGCGACAAAGA